rnacentral:rRNA from 1 species
GACGAACGCUGGCGGCGUGCCUAAUACAUGCAAGUAGAACGCAGUUGCGAACGGGUGAGUAACGCGUCGGUAACUGCCUGGUAGCGGGGGAUAACUAUUGGAAACGAUAGCUAAUACCGCAUACUACCAGAUGGACCUGCGUUGUAUUAGCUAGUUGGUGGGGUAACGGCUCACCAAGGCAACGAUACAUAGCCGACCUGGGAGGGUGGUCGGCCAAACUGGGACUGGAACACGGGCCAGACUCCUACGGGAGGCAGCAGGAGGGGAACUUCGGCAAUGGGGGGAACCCUUACCGAGCAACGGCGCCGGAGUGAAGAAGGGUUUCGGAUCGUAAAGCUCUGUUGUUAAGGAAGCGGUACUUAACCAGAAAGGGACGGCUAACUACGUGCCAGCCGCCGCGGUAAUAC